GGGAUAAACGCUGAAAGCAUCUAAGUGUGAAGCCCCCCUCAAGAUGAGAUUUCCCAUUCCGUUAAGGAAGUAAGAUCCGUUAGAGAAUAUGACGUAGAUAGGCUGCGGGUGGAAGUGUAGUGAUACACGGAGCUGAGCAGUACUAAUAGAUCGAGGGCUUAACCG
rnacentral:rRNA from 1 species